UCAUCGAUCAUCUUUAAUAAAUAGAUAUUCACGGAUCUACAGCAGCAUGCGGAACCUGUUGCUCUUUGUGUUUGUAUUAUUAAUGUACGUUGUGUCUGGUUCAGAGACGGAUGAAUCUGAGUCUGUGACAGUGAUGGAGGGAGAUUCUGUCACCCUACACACUAACCUUUCUGAACUACUCAACGACGACACCAUACUGUGGAUGUUCGGACCCAAAGGCUCUCUCAUAUCUGAAAUAAGGAGAAAGCAAGACUCGACUUCAUUUUUUUGUCGCUGAUGAUGUUAGAUUCAGUGGCAGAUUGCAGGUGGAUCAAAAGUCUGGAUCUCUCUCCAUCACAAACACCAGAAUCAGACACUCGGGACAAUAUAAACUCACCAUCUCUAGAGAAAAGAUCAAGACAAAGAAGACAUUUAAUGUCACUGUCAUUAGCGUGGCUAAUGAGACGGAUGGAGUGAAGUCAGUGUCUGUGACAGUGAUGGAGGGAGAUUCUGUCACCCUACACACUAACCUUUCUGAUCUACUCAACGACGACACCAUACUGUGGAUGUUCGGACCCAAAGACUCUCUCAUAUCUCAAAUUAAAGAGAAAAAGCAAGACUCGACU